AGGGAUCUGGACGGGGGUGGACGGAGGGAACAGGGGAGUGCGGGAAGGGACUUCGGGCCGACCUCGCGGUUCACAGGGAUCCAGCCUAACGGCUCCACAACCUGGGCAAGGGGCGACUGGUUCGCUCUCCAGCCUGCCCGGAGCACCGGUACAGGCAUUUGAAUUCAUAACCUGUGCCCUCGCGGAGGAAGUGAGAACCUUGGGCAGGGGAGGGAACAGGAGCCCUUGGCUGCGAUGCAAGGGACCGCAGAGGGCAGUGGUCGGGAGUCCUGGUGCCUCACAAGGGGUGGUAGCAGGAUGGCCACAGGCUCCAGCCUGCUCCUGUGUGGACCUCACACUCUUUGAUGCUAUUCAUUAAUCCUGGAUCAAGUCCCUCUCCCGCAUGGACUCUCCCGAAGAAGGGUAGUGGCUACCUCGAAUUUCAGAGCUGCAUCUCAAGUGGCAGGCCACGGCAGCGCCCACAUGGCUGAGAUACACCAAAGCUCAACUGUCUGGGGGCACAGUUGACCCAAAUCCCCAGCAGAGAGGCCCAUGUGGAACCAAGGCCUCCCACCAACGGUCAACAGCAGCAGCUCGUUGCAAGGCGAAGACGCUGCCUAGAAGUGUAUCCUCCCAGCUGGCCAAGGCUUCUAGUGGCAGCAGCCCUGGCUGAGAUAGGGACUGCGGCCUCACCGAGGGCCUGAGCCAGAAUAUGCCCAGCCAAGUGGGUCCCGAAUGCCUGACCCCAGUGGGAGGUGAGAAAUGCAUAUGGUUGUUUUAA